CGUCCCUCCAGUCCUUCGCUCGGUCGCGCCUCCGGGCCUUCGAGCGGCGUGUGCUGCCUGUACCAUCUACCCGGUCCCGCGGGAAGCCGACACGACCCACAUGCCAGUCCGCCCCCCCUGCCUCGCCGGGCGAGGGGCGGCCCCGGCGCGGGCGUCGCGCGCCCCCGGRCGGCGCGGCCGUCAGGCCCCCGUCCCGGUCGGGCUCCCGACGUCCCCGCGAGCGCUCUCGGAUGCGGCGGAUGCCACGGGCUUCGGGGACUUCGGUCCCCGACCCGGACCACGGUCGGUCGUCGAGCCGCCCUCAUCGAGACGACGGUCGGCCCGCCGUCGGGCCCCUUUCGCCCCCCCCGCGGGCGGGCGGGCGCCCCGGCGGUGGCGCCGAC
rnacentral:misc_RNA from 1 species